rnacentral:misc_RNA from 1 species
UACGUAGGUCCCGAGCGUUGUCCGGAUUUAUUGGGCGUAAAGCGAGCGCAGGUGGUUUAUUAAGUCUGGUGUAAAAGGCAGUGGCUCAACCAUUGUAUGCAUUGGAAACUGGUAGACUUGAGUGCAGUAGGGGAGACUGGAAUUCCUGGUGUAGCGGUGAAAUGCGCAGAUAUCAGGAGGAACACCGAUGGCGAAGGCGACUCUCUGGUCUGUAACUGACGCUGAGGAGCGAAAGCGUGGGGAGCGAACAGG